rnacentral:rRNA from 1 species
UCGACGAGUUUGAUCAUGGCUCAGAUUGAACGCUGGCGGCAUGGUUAAAGCAUGCAAGUCGAACGCGAACCACCUUCGGGUGGGGAAAGUGGCGAAAGGGCGAGGAAUACGAUCGAAUGUGCCCCGAGGUGGGGGAUAGCGUCGAGAAAUCGGCGGUAAUACCCCAUGUGCUCUACGGAGGAAAGGUUUACCGCCUUGGGAGCAGCGAUCGUCCUAUCAGGUAGUUGGUGGGGUAAUGGCCUACCAAGCCGAAGACGGGUAGCGGGUGUGAGAGCAUGACCCGCCGCAUCGGAACUGAGACACUGUCCGGACUCCUACGGGAGGCUGCAGCGACGAAUAUUCCGCAAUGGGCGAAAGCCUGACGGAGCAAUGCCGCGUGUGGGAUGAAGCGCCUUCGGCGUGUAAACCACUGUCAGGUCCUAGGAACACUGACCAGGACCAGAGGAAGGGCCGGCGUAACCUCCGUG